UGGGGAAUUUUGCACAAUGGGGGAAACCCUGAUGCAGCGACGCCGCGUGAUUUAGAAGGCCUUCGGGUUGUAAAAAUCUUUUGUAUGGGAAGAAAAUGACAGUACCAUACGAAUAAGGACCGGCUAAUUACGUGCCAGCAGCCGCGGUAAUACGUAUGGGGCGAGCGUUGUCCGGAAUUAUUGGGCGUAAAGGGUACGUAGGCGGUUUUUUAAGUCAGGUGUCAAAGCGUGGAGCUUAACUCCAUUAAGCACUUGAAACUGAAAGACUUGAGUGAAGGAGAGGAAAGUGGAAUUCCUAGUGUAGCGGUGAAAUGCGUAGAUAUUAGGAGGAAUACCGGUGGCGAAGGCGACUUUCUGGACUUUUACUGACGCUCAGGUACGAAAGCGUGGGGAGCAAACAGG
rnacentral:rRNA from 1 species